UUUGUAAAUUGUAGAAAACUAAUUCUGCAAAUUUUGGUAGAGCCGACUUCCUUGUUAAAAAUAUCAUUAAUGUCCGAUAGCGUAGCAGUACCGUAAGGGAAAAAUGAAAUAGAAUCUGCGGAAGUGAAAUAGAACUUGAAAUUGAGUGUAAUUAACAGUAGGAGCUUAACAAAAGCUACUGCGUACCUUUUGCAUAAUGGGCUAACGAGUUUAUUUAAAUUGGCAAGUUUAAGGAUAUAUCUGAGACGAAGUAAACGCAAACAUUAAUCUGUGUAUUUAGUCAAUUAAAUAAGACCCGAAACGACGUGAUCUAACUAUUAGCAGGCUAUAAGGCCGAACUCGUGUGCGUUGCAAAGUACUGAGAUGACUAGUGGUUAGGGGUGAAAGGCCAAUCAAACGUCGUUAUAGCUGGUUUUCCGCGAAACGUGUUUUAGCACGAUGCUUAAAAAAUUUAAUAGGGUAGAGAUUUUAAAACUAGGACUAAAUUGCCGAAUUUUUUAAAACUACGAAUAUAUUUAAAAGUGAAAUUUAAGCGGUCACACCAAGGGUGCUAAGAUCCUUGGUGGAAAGGGAAACAACCCUGAUUGGAUAUUAAGGUCAUAAAGGUUACUUUAUUUUUAAAGUUGCAAAUACCGUUUUACACUCAAAAGGUAGGCUUGGAAGCAGCCAUUCUUUUAAGAAAGCGUAACAGCUCAUUGAGUUAUGUGGCAUUUGUACUAAAAAUUACUGAAUUAGUAGUAACCGCCGAAAUACCAAAUUCUUUCAGAAUGGUAGCGGAAUGUUCUGUAAAUCGAAAACAAUUUGUUGAAAAAUAAAUAGGAGAUAUCAGAAGUAAUAAUGUUAGCAUGAGUAAUGAUAAAUAACGUUAAAAUCGUUAUCGCCGAAGAACCAAGGUUUUCGACGUCAAGGUCAACUGCGUCGAGAUUUAAUAAAACGGUACCUAAGAUUUUUUGCGAAAGCAAAAAUCGAUGGCUUAUUAGUAUUUUAUUUUUUGUAGUAUACAAAACUUGUGACUUUUGGUUUUUACCAAGAUUAGAUAGUUUUCUGGAAAAUAUUCUAUAAAUAAAACCGUACCUAAUCCGACUCUGGUGGUUCUGUUAAAAUAAAUAAAGGCGAAUGGUAAUUUUAAGCUUAAGGAACUCGGCAAAUUUACCUCGUAACUUCGGGAUAUGAGGUGGUUAACACCGCUAUAUGCGGACGGUAACCCUUUGAUUGUUAUUUGUAGCGACUGUUUAACAAAAACAUAGGUGAGUGAGAAACGUAGUGUGAAUUAUACUCACUGACGCCUGCCCGGCACUUUUUGGUAUAAUAAAAAUGGUGUUUGCUGUUUUUAAAACCCUUAGUAAGCGGCUGCCGUAACUCUGACGGUACAAAGGUAGCGAAAUUCCUUGUCAAGUAAGUUUUGACCUGCAUGAAUGGCGUAACGACUGCAAAACUGUCUUAAGCUUAAACCAGUGAAAUUGAAGUAACAGUGAAGAUGCUGUUUAUUUGCAGCAAGACGGAAAGACCCUAUGAACCUUUACUGAUAAAUUCUAUUGUAGUAAAAACGCUAAUUAUGUAGGAAUAGGUGGUUGUAAAAAUUCUAAAUUAACAAACGUGAAAUACCACUUCUUAGUUUUUUGUGACAUUUAAAAAAAAGUGGAAUUUAGUCAGUUUAGUUGGGGUGACUACCUCUUAAAUUGUAACAGAGGUUUACAUAAGAUAUGUUUACGUGUAAUAGCUAUAAUAUAUUUAACUGUGAGAAAUACGUUUCAAGCAGAAGUGCAAGCUGGUUAUAGUGAUCUGUUAAAUUUGUUCGGUUAGAUUUAACACUUAAAGAUUAAAAGGUACUCUAGGGAUAACAGGCUAAUGGUUUUUGCGAGUCCAUAUCAACGAAACCGAUUGGCACCUCGAUGUCGGCUCAUCGCAUCCUUCAGCUGCAGAUGGUUGAAAGGGUUUGACUGUUCGUCAAUUAAAGCGGUACGCGAGCUGGGUUCA
rnacentral:rRNA from 1 species